rnacentral:lncRNA from 1 species
NNNNNNNNNNNNNNNNNNNNNNNNNNNNNNNNNNNNNNNNNNNNNNNNNNNNNNNNNNNNGGCGGAGGUGGUCGACCCGGCCUCGCACACGCAGGGCAGGGGCUGGCGGGGUGGGGGGCUGCAGCCGCCUGGAGGGACCCCUCACGCUGGCGAAGGAUUGUCUGCUCUCCCGGGGAAGCUCUGGGGCUCGGAAAUACUAUUCUUAUCCCAGGGGGCGGCGGCGUGGGCUGUGAGUGUGCUGCGUUACAUGGGGGGGACGUCUUUGCUGCAGGUGGAGCUCCGUAGCGUCUCCGAGCCGCCGCAGAAAUGCCGGCGCGCGGGGCUUACGGUGGGAGGCCGGACAGCGCUGCGAGGUGCACCCGUCAGAAUGCCCCGCGCGCCGGCAUGUGGGGUCAUCUGCUUCUCGGAGUUUUCAACGCCAAACACAGAUCCAGAAAACCAGGAGGGUCUGGAUUUGGGGGCGGGGGUGUCGCGGCUCCGUGUUGGGUCUCUAUAUAACGGGAGGCGGAAUUUCUUGACGGUAUUGCUGAAGAUUAUCCGAAGUUCCGGGAAUCACCAAAAGCAGGGAAAAGUGGAAAAAGUUCAAAAGAAGGACAAGACAUAAUAGACUCAGAGGUAACUGCUCUCAAAUAUUCCCUUUCCGUUUUUUCGUGAACUCCUUUUAACCAGGGGCAGCACAGCGUGGUGAAAGCCAGGCUCUUCUAGAAUGUUUCCCUGCACGAGAUUGUCUGCGAGUCUCCUUUAUAAACUGAAAUUUCAGUUCUUUCGGUUUUCGUUAUUUUAGUCUGGGGAAAGACGGAUGGGUUUAUGGAAGUUGUGUCUGUGCAACUGGUAUUUUUAAGUUUAUGACCACCCCCCCCCCCCAGACGCAGCCGCCCUCCUGCAGAGGCUGGUUUCCCCACCCUCGGUCGUUGGUGCUUUUAGCUUUCAGAUCCUCCUCCCCUUCCUUGCUUUGCAAGUCCGCUGCCAGGUCAGGUCCGUCCCUCCCAGUGGCUCCUCCUCCCCUCACCUUUGAUUCUCUGGUGCGGUCUUUGUGCUCUGCUGAUGUCUGAUGCCCAGAGCCUCUUUCCGUAGUGGCAUGGGUUGGUACCUCUCAGCUGAGUUAGUUUGGGUACUUGGAUACGAUCCUCUGUCAUCUGUCACUUGUUCUCUCUCUGCGUUGGCCAGUCCUCACUUCUUUUGCUUCUUCGCUGUGGACUCACCGAAGAGCAGCAGGAAUGCUUGGUGAGGACCGUGUCUCCCUGGUGGGGUUGAUGGCGUUCCUGGGCACACAGGUGCUAGCACUUGGCCUGUUCUUCAUUGGGAGCAGUUGUUGAACUAGAGCCCCUCAGGCGAAGGAUCCAGGAGCUGUCUGGACCCAGGCUGAGCUAGGAAGCCUUUUCGGAUCACUGGUAGCCAAGAAGCGGCUUGCUCGUGGUUUCAUGUUCUCCAGAGCUCGAUCACCCAGGUCCCUGGGCUUAUCACAGAUGACAUUAAUUUCAGAUGUCAGAUCCCUUUCCUGUAAGCCAAAUUAGAAUGAGUUCCAUGUCAUCUGGGGAAACACAGUUACCUGGUGAUUAUAGGCAUAGCCUUUUUUCUUUUUUUUUUUUUAAAGCCCUGGGGAGUGGUAUCUUUUCCUUAUCAUUUGGUGCAUUCUCAGCCUCCCUUCUCUUUAGCAGGUGGUUGGUUCCAGCAAAUCUGUCACCCUCCCCGAAGCAAAAAGAGAUAGACCCAAAGGUUCCUUAAAUAUCAGUAGUUGGGAAUUACUGGUGCCAGUUCUUCUCUGCCCUGUCUUUAUAACGGAUAAUCACGUUUUACAGUGACAUUCUUGUUUUUGACUUGCUUCCUUCCGAGUCAGUUUUUUUACUAAAUCGAUUUAAGUGAAAUUUAGUCCCUUUGCAAGGGUAGUAUGCGUUUUCUUUCCUUUUGCUUACGGGUGUUUCAUUAAAGCUGCUAAGGCUUCCAGUACUGCCCCGAACCUUCCUCGGUCACACACCUGUCUCUUCUCACCGUUAGUGGGGCAAAGAACAUCAGUGGUCUGGUUCAUUUAUUCCCAUUUUAGCAGAACGAACCUGAAUUGAAGGAUUGAUAACAUUAAGUUUGAACCUGGAAAGUCCAUCCGUUCACUUAAAGAUCACAAACCUGCUAGUACGUACAGUGCGUGUCUUUAAGGUGGUUUGGGUUCCUAGACUGUCAGCUGCUUAAGACUCUUUAGGUGUGGCCCCCUCCAGUGCCUGAGUGUGAUGCCCCACUUGUCUUUUUGUAUUUUUUCUAGAGCUACUGUCUAAGAGCUGGAGCUACAGAGCUUGAAAUUACCACCGAAAAAUACUGACAUGGUGGGCCCUUCACUGCUUCCUCAUAAGGAUACCAGAGGCAACAAGGCCCAUUAAGCAGGACAGUGGGCACAGGACUGUGUACGUUGUUUUGCAGGAGUACUAAUUGAGGCACUUCAGUUCAUUUGAACUUUGGGUUGAGCCUGAAUUUGUUCGAUGUCGGUUCCCUUCUCAGUCUUCAUCCCGCUUCUUCAGCUCUGGUUCCACCCACUUGCAGAUACGGUUGACCCGCUCAGGGGCUCGAGACCCUCAUUGCGCACUUUUUCCCUCUCCUGUCAACAUUCCUCUGAACUUGAAUGUUUUUGACCUGAACUGUUCAAAUAGGACUGCUUUUCUCGUGCUGCUUUUCAGACCUGUUCAGUGUCCCAUCACCUUCACAGCUGGCUCUCGCUCGGGUCAGCCUGUGAACUCACCUGGGGUGGGGGCGUUUCCCCCAUUUGGGACUGUCCCAGCCUGAGGGGCGUGCAGAACAGGAGUCCGCCCAGGGCAGAGUAGCCAGGCUUGGGAAAUCAUCUCAACAGAGAACACAUGAAAAAGAACUUGGCCCGUGGUUGGUUGACUUAACACACUACUUCAAGACUGGAAAAGGUCCUUACGCCUCAAAUCCUGGCUGGCUGUAACCCAGCCUCACGGAAAACAGAGGCACCAAGUGGCUUAUGCUGCAGAACACUUUUCUGUUAGAACAAAGGAACAUUUCAUUGUACAGGGGUGUUUAGGAAGACAGAGUUCUGUGGUAAAGGAUAGAGUGGUGUAGGGGAACAUAUUUUAACCUGGGGAGUAAAAAUGCUGACUCCUGAGUGCCCUAAGUGAUGUCACCUAGCUUCCAUGGCCCUGUUUCCUCGCCUCCAAAAACAGUGGAGAGUUUCAGAUUUGGCCAUUUUUAAUUUGAUGGGAUAGAUUAGACGUGACCCCUCUUGAAAAAGUUUUCCCUGCGAGAUGUAAGGCAGAAUACAUCUUCCAGGUAACAAAAUAGCAGUAAAGGUCAUAACUGCUCCUGGGCACAUUUUUCUAGAAAUUUCUUCUCGAAUGAUGUGUACUGGUACACUUUUGUUUGUUUUAUUCUCUUUCAAGUAGGAUGUUUUAAUUUAUAUACUCAAAACUAAAGUUUCUGCCCAGUACUUACAGGUUUAUUUCGUGGCACACUUAAGGAGUGAGGCCACAGGUGGGCUCCUGGGUGCUCAGGAGACUGACAGAGGGAACUCCGCUCUGAACAUCUGUCCUUGGUGUCAUGUUCAAAGCUGUGCAAACAUAUCUAGGCCCCCUUGAAGAAUAUUUAGAAUCUUCAUUGAUCACUCAGAGAUUUCUAAAGUCUGUUCUGGAAGAUGAGACCAUGCCGUGGUGUUUUUUAUAGUAGCUGUUUUAAUUUGUAUACUGCAUCCAAAGUUAUGUUUUUAAAAGUGUUAAUGCUCUCUGUAAAGUGAUUUGUUUCAAGCACAUUAAAGGUUGUUUUGAGCGCUGUUCUCUGGUCACGUAUGUUACCUGUCCUGCUUCAGUGUAGUUUGGUCUGGAAGUCUCUACGGCAACUCUGACGUAAUACCUCUUCCUGGAAAGAAAGCUGAAUGGUCCUCUCCAGCUCGUUAGCUCAUUUUGACAUCUUCUGCCCUUAGCCAUAACGUUUUCCUCUCUAUAAUCCGUCCCUUUACAUCCCAGGAAACCCCCCUCAGUGUUGCAGAGACGGGGAGCCGGGCUUGCUGAGGUCCCACAGGUAUGGCUGGCAAGUCCUGUUUGAGAAAGUAAACCGGAAAUUUCAAAAACUUUAAAUUCAUCUUAUAAUAACCCCCAUUACCUGGUAACAGAAACAACAUUUUGGUGGAAAGUAUUUCUUAAGAAGAUCUGACUUUCUAGGCACUCGGCUUUGUAGCAGGAAUUUUAACCUGAGUGUUGGAGGACAGUGGAAGUGGUCUGUUGGCAGGUGUGUUUCCUAGGGAGAAGGCUGUGACCAUCACCUUCUAAGGGGAGAGUCCCCGACUCCCCUCCCCCAUAACACCAAAGCCACUGUCUACAGACUGAAUUCUGAGCUCAUGCUGUCACUAGGGGCUGCCUCUGCCACACUGCCCAUCAUUCUCUCCCCACUUUUUUUC